UUUUAUGGCGGCUGUGCGCGGGCACGCUUCGGCGUGGCCGGGUUGUGCGACCGGUCUCCUACCCCGCGUACAGCUGCCACCCAG
rnacentral:antisense_RNA from 3 species